rnacentral:tRNA from 1 species
UUAAAUAGCUUAAAUUUAAAGCCUAAUAUUGAAAAUAUUAAAAUGAUUUUAAAUCUUUAAAUA